CGGACGGGUGGAGUAACGACGUGGAAAACCUAGCCGUAUACUGGGGGAGUAACACUUAGAAAUAGGUGCUAAUACCGCAUAAGCGCACAGCUUCGCAUGAAGCGGUGUGAAAAACUACUGGUGGUAUACGAUGGUUCCGCGUCUGAUUAGCUAGUUGGUGGGGUAAUGGCCUACCAAGGCAACGAUCAGUAGCCGGCUUGAGAGGGUGAACGGCCACAUUGGGACUGAGACACGGCCCAAACUCCUACGGGAGGCAGCAG
rnacentral:rRNA from 1 species